rnacentral:rRNA from 1 species
UACGAAGGGGACUAGCGUUGUUCGGAAUCACUGGGCGUAAAGCGCACGUAGGCGGAUGUGUCAGUCAGGGGUGAAAUCCCGGGGCUCAACCUCGGAACUGCCUUUGAUACAGCACGUCUCGAGUCCGGAAGAGGUGGGUGGAAUUCCUAGUGUAGAGGUGAAAUUCGUAGAUAUUCGGAAGAACACCAGUGGCGAAGGCGGCUCACUGGUCCGGUACUGACGCUGAGGUGCGAAAGCGUGGGGAGCAAACGGG